rnacentral:rRNA from 1 species
GUACCAGUCACUUUGGCAAAUCCGGGUGGCAAUGGGAAGCCGUGAUGCGGAGCGAAAUAAAGUAGCGAAGUCCGUGAGCCAUGCGUCAAGAAAAGCCGCUAUCGUUUAUACCGUACCCGUACCGUAAACCGACACAGGUGGAUGAGGAGAGAAUCCUAAGGCCGGCGGAAGAAGCAUUGUCAAGGAACUCGGCAAAAUGGCCCCGUAACUUAGGGAUAAGGGGUGCCUGGGAAACCAGGCCGCAGAGAAUAGGCUCAAGCAACUGUUUAGCAAAACACAGGUCUAUGCGAAACCGUAAGGUGAGGUAUAUGGGCUGACGCCUGCCCGGUGCUGGAAGGUUAAGAGGAGAGGUUAGCAGUAACGCGAAGCUUUGAAUUUAAGCCCCAGUAAACGGCGGCCGUAACAAUAACGGUCCUAAGGUAGCGAAAUUCCUUGUCGGGUAAGUUCCGACCCGCACGAAAGGCGUAAUGAUUUGAGCGCUGUCUCGACAAUGCAUCCGGUGAAAUUGAAGUACCAGUGAAGAUGCUGGUUACCUGCGCCAGGACGGAAAGACCCCAUGGAGCUUUACUCCAGUCUGGUACUGGGACUCGGUAUUGCAUGUACAGGAUAGGUGGGAGGCUAGGAGAUGGUAACGCCAGUUGCCAUGGAGCCGCUGUUGGGAUACCACCCUUGCAGUAUUGGGUUUCUAACCAGCCGCCGUGACCCGGCGGUGGGACAAUGCCAGACGGGGAGUUUGACUGGGGCGGUCGCCUCCGAAAGGGUAUCGGAGGCGCCCAAAGGUUCCCUCAGAAUGGACGGAAACCAUUCGAAGAGUGCAAAGGCAGAGGGGAGCUUGACUGCGACACCGACGGGUGGAGCAGGUACGAAAGUAGGGCUUAGUGAUCCGGUGGUAUUAAGUGGGAAUGCCAUCGCUCAACGGAUAAAAGCUACCCUGGGGAUAACAGGCUUAUCACUCCCAAGAGUUCACAUCGACGGAGUGGUUUGGCACCUCGAUGUCGGCUCAUCGCAUCCUGGGGCUGUAGUAGGUCCCAAGGGUUGGGCUGUUCGCCCAUUAAAGCGGUACGCGAGCUGGGUUCAGAACGUCGUGAGACAGUUCGGUCCCUAUCCGGCGUGGGCGUAGGAUAUCUGAGAGGAGCUGUCCUUAGUACGAGAGGACCGGGAUGGACGGGCCGCUGGUGCAUCGGUUAGACUGCCAAGUCUACGGCCGAGUAGCCAAGCCCGGAAGGGAUAAACGCUGAAGGCAUCUAAGCGUGAAGCCCCCCUUAAGAUGAGAUAUCCCAUUCGUUAAGAAGUAAACCCCCUUGAAGACGACGAGGUAGAUAGGGCAGAGGUGGAAGUGCAGUAAUGCAUGGAGCUGACUGUUACUAAUCGGGUGAGGGCUUGACCG